ACAUAUCGUCGCUGGGCUUCUAAAAUGUUGUAAAUUACAAUUUUUUCAAGAAAUUUUUUUCUCACAAACAGGCUUUGAAAAUUUUGGCAAAAUGCAUGCAUCCAAAAUGUCGUAUGUGAACUUGAACAUUUUUGUAAAUAGCAGUGAAAUAAAAACGUUGACAUUUCUGGAUUAUCCAAGAACUUAAAUUAUUUUCACAGAAAUAAAGAAAUGUACAAUUAUUUUUUUCCCAAAGCCAUUCUACA
rnacentral:lncRNA from 1 species